UACAGAGGGUGCGAGCGUUAAUCGGAAUUACUGGGCGUAAAGCGCGCGAGGCGGCUUUUCAAGUCGAUUGUGAAAUCCCCGGGCUUUAACCUGGGAACUGCAGUCGAGACUGUCUAGCUAGAGUAUGGGGAGAGGGAAGUGGAAUUUCAGGUGUAGCGGUGAAAUGCGUAGAUAUGGAAGGAACAUCAGUGGCGAAAGCGACUUCCUGGACCAAUACUGACGCUCAUGUGCGAAAGCGUGGGGAGCAAACAGGGAUU
rnacentral:rRNA from 1 species